GCCCGGCAGGUGCUGCUGCCCCACAGCCCCACAGGGGCUCACUGCCUUAGCUGCAUUGCUUCAUACCUUCAGGCUUCUUUAUCUGGGGCCCAUGGCUUCAGUAUAUACAUCUGUGGCUUAGUUUUGGUAUUUCAAGGAACACUCCAAUUACUCUUUCCCCAGCAUGCUGCUUUUGGCAGUGUCCAUGAAAUCCUUGAUUCUUGUUCUCAUCCCAGGAAUUCAUUUACUUGAAAGGAUGCUUUGUGCUACGUCAGAAAUAAUGUGCUGUGACUGUUCUGGGAUGCUUUCAGUUCUUAUUCAAAAUAUAAAAGCCUGUUUUGAAGGAGCUACCAAAACUAAAAGGAAGAAUUUUUGUUGUCACUUAAGUGAGAGGCUCAUUGUGUGUUCACAUAGCUCAAAGUGUAGCUCCAAAAUGUUGCUUUUGUGGCAUUCUACACAUUCUGGUCAGGUUAUAAUCCUGAUAACAUGGUAAUGAGAAGAAAUGUCCCCUCAGGUAACUUUUAGAACUGUUCAAUCUAGUGAGCUUGCUUGUUAGUUAAAACCUAAAAUUUAUAUACUGCUAUUUGAGACCCCCUCCUUUUUACAGAAUAGGAAGAGGGGGAAUAUGCAGUUUUGUUUUUUUAAAGCAUGUUUACUUCUUUAAACAUUCGUAACUUGUUUGUUUUCUAGUGGGAGUGAUGCUGUAUCCAUCCAGACAAGGGCAACCCUGAGUGAAGAUGGGAAACACUUCCUGUUAAAUGGCUCCAAGGUCUGGAUCUCCAAUGGUGGCCUGGCCAGUAUUUUCACAGUGUUUGCCAGGACAGAGAUUGUGGACAAGGACGGGCAGGUGAAGGAUAAAAUCACUGCUUUCAUCGUGGAGCGGGACUUCGGGGGCGUCACCCAUGGGAAACCCGAGGAUAAACUGGGCAUUCGAGGCUCCAACAAUAAGAGCCACCUAAAACUGUUAGCAGAACUUGUUUUCAUAGUUUAAGGUUUUAUUUUGGUUGGAUCAUCUGAAUUCAGGGGCAAAUCAAUACGUAUUCCAUGUUACAGUAUAAGUUUCAUGUUUCUUUAGCUGGCUUUUCCCAGGAGCCCUUCCUGACGCAGGGUCUGAAAUAAGAAAUCCAAUUUGUGGAGUUCAUUCACUGUGCAGUGAAAGAAAUUAUUCAGGAGUCUCAGUGGCCAAUAGGUUUAAUCUAGAAGUCCACGUUCUUCAGCUCUUCUAAGCUUUGUAAUGAUUGCAUCUUUUCACCAUCUUGGUGACUGUUCAGUCAGUUCCUUAGAACUAGAAAUAAAGACCAAACUGUAGUUCUCUGUUUACACAGUGUAUAUUCAUAAUAUUUUAAAUAUUUUACAUCAAUAACUGAUGUCAGCUACAGCCUUUUCCCAAAUUCUCACUUCUUUGGCGAAGCAUGUAUAAUUCUGUCAUAAACAAUGCAUUAGGAAGACUUCAUUUCCUGCUACAAAUAGUGACUUAAGUUCCUGAAUGUCUUUUAAGUAUUUCUGUGUCAUAUUUGAUCAAGUGUUAAUUCUGUGUUUCAGCCUGUGAAGUACAUUUUGAAAACACCAAAGUGCCUAUAGAGAAUGUAAUUGGAGAAGUUGGAGGGGGAUUUAAGGUAAGCAGUGGAGAAUAACUACUGGUGAUUUAUAGAAGUCUGAAGGAGGCUGUUUCCCCCCGUGCUGAAGUUUCCUUGUGGGUGGUGUGAGCACUGCCACACUCUAGGGUACAGGAAGAGAGAUUCCCCCAUUGAUCUGUAAAUUGGUGUCACUGGACAGUGCACAGUGUGCCAUCAUCUCAGAUUUCUGUGUUUCUUCUCUUCUUGUUGGGCUUUUGGUUGUUUGUUGUGGUGUCCCCUCAGAAGAGGGAGUGACUUCAGCUGCCCUUCUGCCCUGAAUGGAGGACAUGUCCUCUGCUGGUUCCAGAGCAGAAUGUGGGAAGGGAGACACCCUGGCACAGGCUGUGUGGAUGUCACAGGGAGUGCUGGAGGCAUGCCCAGCUCCAAGGUGCCCUGGCUGUCAGGUGCUUCUCCAGGGCUGCCCUGUUGCACAGGGAAAUGCUGGCAGGACCCCAGGAGAGAAAACCACAGGUGGCCUUGCAGUGUUACCUUUCUCUGAGAGUGUGACCUGGGGAGUUGCUAACCUGCUCUUACUCCUUCUCCAUUUCUUAUUCCUGCUGUAGCAGGCAAGUCCAGGCCUAAGUGCUAAAAGAAAUUAUUUUCCUUAAUGUAGUAGAGAUUAAAAGAAGAUUGUUAUGGUGCCUUCCUGACAAGUUAAAAUGUAGGACAGUGACUUCUUUCCUAACAGGCUUUGACAUGAGUCACCCAUGUUGAGAAACAACACUACAGACACCAGACUCCAAAAUCUAUUUUUUUUACGUUAUUGGUCUGUAUUUCAUUUCUAUACCUCCUUUCUUAUCCCUUCUGUGAUGUGUUGCUGAAAGCCACCUGAGGCAGAGAGCAGCCAUCACAGGUCAGCUGCAAGGAGAAAUACUGUGGUUUUCUUCAUCUGAUAAACUGGAGCCGUGCUGUCCAGCUGGAAUGUUGUUUACCAGCUGCAGAUAAAUGCAUUUUUAUCUACAUUUUACCUUCAUCUAAUUAGAGAUUAUUUCCAAGUCACCGGAUCAUCUACUUCAGAUACAAAAUUGGAUGUAAUGGGUGGCAGGAAAAGCCCAGUUUUGAAGCAUUUUCCUUGGGAUGCUGAGAGCUGUGGUGGCUGAUGUGAGGGCACUCUCCAGGACUGGCAGUGUGUCCCAGUGAGGAGUGAAAUCCAGGGAACACAGAAGCAGGAAGCAGUGACCUAAGGAGAAUGUGGCCUAAACCCCAUCUGUUUCUUCACAGGUUGCCAUGAAUAUCCUCAACAGUGGAAGAUUUAGCAUGGGCAGUGCAUCUGCUGGAAUGAUUAAGAAGUUGAUAGGUGGGUGAAUUGGGAGCUCUGCAUGGCUGGGUGCCAGCAGAAACUGCUCUGCCUGAGGCAGAUCAUGCAAGACAUUCAGAGUGGGAGCAGGAGUCUUGACCUUGUCAUAACAGGCUUUGAUAUCUUUAAAACACGAAAAUAUGGUUUUGAAAAAUUAAAUUAAAAGCCUGCUUGCAGAGGUUUUGAAAUAAAGGUCUUUUUCCUUUUGUACAGUGUAGAUUCAGUUCAUAGAGUGGGAGGUUAUUGCCUCUGUUGGACUUCCCUGAGGUAAAAUGUUAUUCCCAACAAAAAAACCUCUGUACUAUUGAUUUUAGAAGGUGUAAUCUCCCCUGGAACCUCCCACCUGAAUAACUGGCUCAAAGCUGCACACAGUAACUAGGGCUAAAACUGCUUUCUGCCAAUUAUUAGCCAAAACAGUAACAGAAGUCUCUCUAACCAAUUAGCACCAAACCUGAUCACUUCUCUUAAGAGUACAGGUUCAUACCUCUGGUUCAAAAGCCUUUGACAGGCUGGUCCCACACUUGGUCAACACCAUCAGUGUGAGGGUGAUUUUCACAAAGUGCUGCUUCUGGAACAGCCAGGGGGCUCCUGGGCACAGACUGGAAUGUCACCGCCCAGGGAAGGACACCAGCUGCUGGAAUGGUCUGUCACAGCCCUUCUGAGAAUGACUUGUUUUUCUUUCUUUGAAGAACUGACAUCAGAGUAUGCUUGCACCAGGAAACAAUUCAAUAAGAAACUCAGCCAGUUUGGAUUAAUUCAGGUAACAAAACAUGAAACACCUAAAUCUCUGUGCGAAGUGCCAGGACAUAGAUUGCAUUGGGUGUAUUUUGGCUGUACUGGUUUAAAGGAUUUGCUAGAAAUUUGUGUGAACCUGGUGCUGACUUCUGUACACUGAUCUUUUAAAUGUCCAGAAUGAUAAAUGUAUAAAAGUAUUUUUUAUUUAUUGUUGUUUCAAAGUGGUACUUUUUAUUGAUUGAUUAAUUUGAUGAUGUAAAACAUAUAAGAACUGCAGGUCUUUUUAAGUUUGAGGGUUGAUUGUGGACUUUUGCAUCUGAAUUUCUGUACGAUUCCUCCUGUUGCUGUGUGGCAGGAGAAGUUUUGUUUGAUGGCUGUGAAAGCCUACGUGAUGGAGAGCAUGGCUUACCUGACUGCAGGGAUGAUGGACAGGCCAGGCUUCCCUGACUGCUCCGUCGAGGCUGCCAUGGUCAAGGUGUUCAGCUCUGAAGGUGCCUGGGCAUGUGUGAGUGAGGCUCUGCAGAUCCUUGGAGGCCUUGGCUACAUGAAGGAUUAUCCUUAUGAACGCUACCUCAGAGACACCAGGAUCCUGCUCAUCUUUGAGGCAAGUACCAGGAUCCCCUUUUUCUGCAAACUGCAGUUCACACCUCCUAUAAAGGGGAGUAGAAACCUGAAGGUUUGAUUGACCAGGAUCUUGUUCCUUCAGCUGCAAAGUCUCUAACAGUAAAACUGCAGGACUAACCUUGUUUUCUUUGGAAUAUCAAUAGUAGUUCCCUAUAAUCAAAUAAGCUAUGAUGGCUUUUACAGACUGACCACAGUGUGAGUUACAGCAGUAACCUUUCCUCUUGUGUGCUUCUCACAAGAGAAGCAGAGAAACUCAUAAAAGAUCAACUUAGACAUUUAAUUAACUUAUUGAUGGCUAUUUAAAUUAAAAGAAAGGUUGGUUCUGAAGCUUGUUCUCUUUCCAAGCUGGAUUGUCAGUGACCCAUCAUGUGCACAUCAGAGUCACUGUCAGACUUGAUUUUAACUCAGCUCAUUUUGAGCAGUUCUACAACUAUUCAAAUAUUCCUUCACUGGAACAGUGCAGAGCAUUUUUAAUCAAAAUGCAUUUUGUCUGUUUUCUUUUACAUUGGGGUAUAUUUG